CAGCCACAUCAUGUUCAAACACAGGUUCCUGGAUGAUCACUGAAGUUAAGCGACAUUGAGCCUGGUCAGUACUUAGAUGGGUGACUACUUGAAAAUACCAGGUGCCGUAAG